AAUGAACGUUGGCGGCGUGGAUUAGGCAUGCAAGUCGUGCGCGAAUCGUAGCAAUACGAGGAGAGCGGCGAAAGGGAGAGGAUAGCAUAGAUACCUACCCUCGGACCUGGGAUAGCUAUGGGAAACUAUAGGUAAUACCAGAUGAUGUCUCCGGACCAAAGGUGUGAUUCCGUCCGGGGAGGGGUCUACGUCCUGUUAGCUUGUUGGUGAGGUAACGGCUCACCAAGGCAAAGAUGGGUACGAGGCGUGAGAGCGUGUCCUCGCUCACUGGGACUGAGACACUGCCCAGACACCUACGGGUGGCUGCAGUCGAGAAUCUUCGGCAAUGGGCGCAAGCCUGACCGAGCGACGCCGCGUGUGGGAUGAAGGCCUUCGGGUUGUAAACCACUGUCAGUGCGGAGGAAAUAUAGUGGGGUUCUCCCCAUUAUUUGACCUAUGCGCAGAGGAAGGACGGGCUAAGUUCGUGCCAGCCGCCGCCGUAA
rnacentral:rRNA from 1 species